CCCUUAGCUGUUCUGGGCCGCACGCGUGCUACACUGAUGCAUUCAACGAGUCUAAAACCUGGUCUGAUAGGGCUGGGUAAUCUUUUGAAAGUGCAUCGUGAUUGGGAUAGAUGAUUGCAAUUCUUCAUCUUCAACGAGGAAUGCCUAGUAAACGCAAGUCAUCAGCUUGCAUUGAUUACGUCCCUGCCCUUUGUACACACCGCCCGUCGCUCCUACCGAUUGAAUGAUCCGAUGAAUACCAUGGAUUGAGAGUACGAAUAGGUUCGCUUAUUUCUGCUGCUCGAGAAGUGGAGUAAAUCUUAUCAUUUAGAGGAAGGAGAAGUCGUAACA
rnacentral:rRNA from 1 species